UGCUCGUAUUUAAGUUCAGAGCGGCCUG
rnacentral:sRNA from 1 species